UACGUAGGGUGCAAGCGUUAAUCGGAAUUACUGGGCGUAAAGCGUGCGCAGGCGGUUAUGUAAGACAGGUGUGAAAUCCCCAGGGCUUAACCUUGGAACUGCAUUUGUGACUGCAUAGCUAGAGUACGGGUAGAGGGGGGAUGGAAUUCCGCGUGUAGCAGUGAAAUGCGUAGAUAUGCGGAGGAACACCGAUGGCGAAGGCAAUCCCCUGGACCUGUACUGACGCUCAUGCACGAA
rnacentral:rRNA from 1 species